rnacentral:rRNA from 1 species
CCUACGGGGGGCAGCAGUGAGGAAUAUUGGUCAAUGGACGAGAGUCUGAACCAGCCAAGUAGCGUGAAGGAUGACUGCCCUAUGGGUUGUAAACUUCUUUUAUAUGGGAAUAAAACGUUCCACGUGUGGGAUUUUGUAUGUACCAUAUGAAUAAGGAUCGGCUAACUCCGUGCCAGCAGCCGCGGUAAUACGGAGGAUCCGAGCGUUAUCCGGAUUUAUUGGGUUUAAAGGGAGCGUAGGUGGAUUGUUAAGUCAGUUGUGAAAGUUUGCGGCUCAACCGUAAAAUUGCAGUUGAAACUGGCAGUCUUGAGUACAGUAGAGGUGGGCGGAAUUCGUGGUGUAGCGGUGAAAUGCUUAGAUAUCACGAAGAACUCCGAGUGCGAAGGCAGUUCACUGGACUGCAACUGACACUGAGGCUCGAAAGUGUGGGUAUCAAACAGGAUUAGAUACCCCAGUAGUC